rnacentral:tRNA from 3 species
GUGGUUAAGACACCGCCCUUUCACGGCGGUAACACGGGUUCGAAUCCCGUACGGGUCA